GGAAAGAUCUCUAUUGGCCCUA
rnacentral:siRNA from 1 species